rnacentral:rRNA from 1 species
GGAAGUAAAAGUCGUAACAAGGUUUCCGUAGGUGAACCUGCGGAAGGAUCAUUCACACAUAUAAUCCACAUCGUGUGAACCUGCCCAAACAGAAAUGUUUGCGGUGUUCAUGGUUAAUCAGCUCGCUUGGAUUAACCCGAGGCAACUCGUAUCGAGCAAUCUUCAUGAAAUCAUAACAAAAUAUCCAAAAUAUCUAUUAUGAACCAUCAGCAAUGGAUGUCUUGGCUCCCAUAACGAUGAAGGACGCAGCAAAGUGCGAUAAGCAUUGUGAACUGCAGAAUUCAGUGAAUCAAUAGAACGCUCAACGCAGACGACACUGUACUUUGUACAGUAGGCCUGUUUCAGAGUCAUCUGCAAUCCCCUCCCAAAUCUGUUGAAAAACAUAUUUGCUGGGGUCAAGGUGCUGCUCGGACUUUUCAGUCUUGGCAGUCGCAGAGUUCUUCAGUUCCUCAAGUUCCAAAACAUGUUCGGUAACGUACUGUUGUGGAUCAAUCUUGUGGUAAAAUGCUGAAGCAUACUAUAUUACAUGACCUGAAAUCAGACCAGGCUACCCGCUGGACUUAAGCAUAUCAAUAAGCGGAGGA